GGGCAACCACUAUUCACAUGAGAUAUGAUUAGAGGAAUUUGUAUAGAGUUUUGGUGUGGGAAGUGAAGAAUAUGACUUAGUAUGUUUUAAGAUUUUUUAUAAAAAAGAUUUCUUUGCUGAUAUCAGCAACCCAGGCAACAGCCCAGGCUUGUGGUGCCCACCAAUUGCCCUGAAACACUUUCUGGGCCUAGGCCCCACUUUGCCUGGGCAAGGGGUUGCCC
rnacentral:lncRNA from 1 species